rnacentral:lncRNA from 1 species
GCCCGGCCCCUGCGCGCGUGCGUGUCCUGCUCGCUCCAUGUUGCCGCCUCUCCCGGUACCUGCUGCUGCUCCCGGGGCUUCGGGAAAUGCGAGAGUCUGAGCCGGGGAGGAGGAACCCGAGCAGCGGCGGCGGCGGCCGCGGCGGCGGGAGCCCCCCAAGAGGAGGACCGGGAUCCAUGUGUCUUUCCUGGUGACUAGGAUGUCGUCGGAGGAGAACAAGUGCGUGGAGCAGCCGCAGCCACCACCCCCCGAGGAGCCUGGAGCCCCGGCCCCGAGCCCCCCAGCCGCAGACAAAAGACCUCGGGGCCGGCCUCGCAAGGCGCUUCCCCUUUCCAGAGAGCCAGAAAGAAACUCAGCCCACCUGCACCCAGGUGAAAUAAACAGCUUUAUUGCUCACACGAAGCCUGUUUGGUGGUCUCUUCACACGGAUGCGCAUGAAAUUUGGUGCCGUGACUUGGAUCGGGGGACCUCCCUUAGGAGAUCAAUCCCCCGUCCUCCUGCUCUUUGCUCCGUGAGAAAGAUCCACCUACGACCUCAGGUCCUCAGACCGACCAGCCCAAGAAACAUCUCACCAAUUUCAAAUCUGGCACCCACUGGAAAUCAGACUGCCCAGCUCGCCCGACAGCCACUCCUGGAGCCCCUAAAGCUCUAGCCCAAGGCUCUCUGACUCCUUCCCAGAUCUAUUCGGCUUAGCGACUGAAGAUUGACGCUGCCCGAUCGCCUCGGAAGUCCCCUGGACCAUCACAGAAGCCGAGCUUCGGGUAACUCUCACAGUGGAGGGUAAGUCCAUCCCCUGUUUAAUCGAUACGGGGGCUACCCACUCCACGUUGCCUUCUUUUCAAGGGCCUGUUUCCCUUGCCCCCAUAACUGUUGUGGGUAUUGACGGCCAAGCUUCAAAACCCCUGAAAACUCCCCCACUCUGGUGCCAACUUGGA